UUUGGAGGUUAGCAAGCCUGGGUCCAAUGCCACCUCAGGCACCCACUAUCUGAGGGCAAAGGCUCCUGGCUUUUCUGGCCUCAGUUUCCUGAGCAAUAGGGAGAGUUGUAAUCACUACCCCCUUGGCCUUUAGGGUGAGUAGAGCUGACACAUACAGAGCUCCAGCAAGGUACCCAGGCCCUAGGAAGCACUCAGCAAACACAAUCAUCACCCUGGGAAGAUGGCGAGAAGAGAGUGGGCAAUUUGUGCACCGAAAGAAUAGCCAGAUCUGUGGGGGCAUUUCUCCCUGACAUAUUGAUACCAAGCCCAGCCUUGAUUUUCCAGGGGAUGCCCCACUCCUUAUUGCAAAGUCUCUGUUCUGACCUCUGGUAUCCCCUCAGGGACCCUUCAGGCCAUGAGUUCAAAUGCCUGGGAAGCCCACCUCACAGGAGCCUCAAGUCCCAUCCGUCUUGUUCCCAAGUCUGGCAGGAUCCUGACAGCCCCAUGCAUGUGCCUGUCCUCAGACCCCUGCAGAGGGCUGGGUGCAGACCUUGGCAGGAGUAGGCUGGCAGGCAGUCUCUUUCCUUCCCAGGCAGACGUGUGUGUAGCAAGUCUGUUUAUCAGGCAACGCCUUGUAGCCAGCGGUGGCGGCUUAACAGUGGCAGAAACGCCCGCAUUGCCUCACCAGCUGCUGGGUACUAAGAUGCGCCCUUGGCCUCAGCUGGCAGAUAAGCACCUGCAUUGGAGAGGGAACCCUUGAUCAUGGGCUGAUAAGUGCAGGGAAGAAACAACAACAACAACAAGAAAAAGCUGAGCAACCCGCUGUGGAAGGCUUUUUCAUGUACGCAUGGGCGUGUUUCUUGUCUUCGCCAACACAGAGGUGAUGCAAAAGCUCUGAUUCUAAUUUAAUUUGGUGGUCACGCAAUCAUGGAAUGAGAGCAUGUCAGAGCUGGAAGGGACUCUGGGGAUUGUCUGGUUGAACUCUUUAAUCUUCCAGGUGAGGACAGUGAGGGCCACAGAGCUGUACCGACUUGUUCAGGAUCAUCCAGCAAAGUUUUGGUGGAGCUGGAACUAAACCCGAGGGUCUCGAGACCCUUGGGCCUGCGAUCUUUCCAUCAUAUGGGAUUGCUUCACAGGCUGCCACCUGAUCGCUUAGGUGUAGACCGCAGGUUGCCCUUUGGUGCCUUAACAGUCCUCUUUAAUAUCACUAAUUGGCCCUGUCUGCCUGCAGAGUCAGAUAGAUGCCCCCUGUCCCUGCUUCUCCCCCACCACAUGCCAGCUAUUGGGGUUGACCAGUUAGCUCAAGGCCACAGGGUCUGAUGCUACUGUUUCAAACACUGUUAUUUCAUAUUUUGAAAAAGCAAGGUUCAGAUAAGAGAGGCAACUUGCCUAGGUGAUACAGCUAGAGAAAGUGAAAGACCUGGGUCUAAAAUUUUCAGGUUCCUCAUUUCAGUUCUUUCCAUACAUAGUGUAUGAAACCCAGGUGUGGGUGAAGGUGGGCAGAAGGGCACCCGGCCUCUGCAACUUUCCCCUGUGACCUGGUUUUGGGGAAGAGUUGCACAUGUUUCCUCAAGGACAGAAAUGGAGUCUGGCAAGACUUUGUAUUGAAAAUCUUGUUCUCAGUAGGGGCCUCCUAAGCAAUGGGUAUAGAUAAAUGAAUGAAUCCUUUUUUUUUGUUUGUUUUUUUGAGACGGAGUCUUACUCCAUUGCCCAGGCUGGGGUGUGAUGAUCCGAUCUCAGCUCACUGCAACCUCCAUCUCCUGGGUUCAAGCAAUUCUCCUGUCUCAGCUUCCCCAGUAGCUGGGACCACAGGCGUGUGCCACCAUGCCUAGCUAAGUUUUAUAUUUUUUUUAGUAGAGAGGGGUUUUCACC
rnacentral:lncRNA from 1 species